UAAAACUCAAAUGAAUUGACGGGGGCCCGCACAAGCGGUGGAGCAUGUGGUUUAAUUCGAUGCAACGCGAAGAACCUUACCUACUCUUGACAUCCAGAGAACUUAGCAGAGAUGCUUUGGUGCCUUCGGGAACUCUGAGACAGGUGCUGCAUGGCUGUCGUCAGCUCGUGUUGUGAAAUGUUGGGUUAAGUCCCGCAACGAGCGCAACCCUUAUCCUUUGUUGCCAGCGAUUCGGUCGGGAACUCAAAGGAGACUGCCAGUGAUAAACUGGAGGAAGGUGGGGAUGACGUCAAGUCAUCAUGGCCCUUACGAGUAGGGCUACACACGUGCUACAAUGGCAUAUACAAAGAGAAGCGACCUCGCGAGAGCAAGCGGACCUCAUAAAGUAUGUCGUAGUCCGGAUUGGAGUCUGCAACUCGACUCCAUGAAGUCGGAAUCGCUAGUAAUCGUGGAUCAGAAUGCCACGGUGAAUACGUUCCCGGGCCUUGUACACACCGCCCGUCACACCAUGGGAGUGGGUUGCAAAAGAAGUAGGUAGCUUAACCUUCGGGAGGGCGCUUACCACUUUGUGAUUCAUGACUGGGGUGAAGUCGUAACAAGGUAACCGUAGGGGAACCUGCGGUUGGAUCACCUCCUUACCUUAAAGAA
rnacentral:rRNA from 1 species